rnacentral:rRNA from 1 species
UAGGGAAUCUUCGGCAAUGGGGGGAACCCUGACCGAGCAACGCCGCGUGAGUGAAGAAGGUUUUCGGAUCGUAAAGCUCUGUUGUUAAGGAAGAACGAGUGUGAGAAUGGAAAGUUCAUACUGUGACGGUACUUAACCAGAAAGGGACGGCUAACUACGUGCCAGCAGCCGCGGUAAUACGUAGGUCCCGAGCGUUGUCCGGAUUUAUUGGGCGUAAAGCGAGCGCAGGCGGGUAGAAAAGUCUGAAGUGAAAGGCAGUGGCUCAACCUUUGUAGGCUUUGUUAACUGUUUAACUUGUGUGCAGAAGGGGAGGGUGGAAUUCCAUGUGUAGCGGUGAAAUGCGUAGAUUUAUUGAGGAAUACCGGUGGCGAAAGCGGCUCUUUGGUCUGUAACUGGCGCUGAGGCUCGAAAGCGUGGGGAGCGAACAGG